rnacentral:rRNA from 1 species
UACGGAGGGAGCUAGCGUUGUUCGGAAUCACUGGGCGUAAAGGGUGCGUAGGUGGCAUGGUAAGUCAGAUGUGAAAGCCUGGGGCUCAACCUCAGAAUUGCAUCCGAUACUGCUGUGCUAGAGUACUGGAGGGGUGACUAGAAUUCCCGGUGUAGCAGUGAAAUGCGUAGAUAUCGAGAGGAAUACCAAAGGCGUAGGCAGGUCACUGGACAGUUACUGACACUGAGGCACGAAGGCCAGGGGAGCAAACGGG